rnacentral:rRNA from 1 species
AUUGAACGCUGGCGGCAGGCCUAACACAUGCAAGUCGAGCGGAGCGGCGGACGGGUGAGUAAUGCCUAGGAAUCUGCCUGCUAGUGGGGGAUAACGUCCGGCAACGGACGCUAAUACCGCAUACUAUCAGAUGAGCCUAGGGCGGAUUAGCUAGUUGGUGGGGUAAAGGCCUACCGAGGCGACGAUCCGUAACUGGUCUGAGAGGAUGAUCAGUCACACUGGAACUGAGACACGGUCCAGACUCCUACGGGAGGCAGCAGUGGGGAAUAUUGGACAAUGGGCGAAAGCCUGAUCCAGCCAUGCCGCGUGUGUGAAGAAGGUCUUCGGAUUGUAAAGCACUUUAAGCGGGGAGGCGUUACCAGCAGAAUAAGCACCGGCUAACUCCGUGCCAGCAGCCGCGGUAAUAC